UGACUCGUGCACACUAUGAUGGGCAAUGGC
rnacentral:piRNA from 1 species